GAAGGUAUAGUUCAGUGGCAGAGCACAUGCUUAGCAUGCAUGAGGUCCUGGGUUCAAUCCCCAGUACCUCCA
rnacentral:tRNA from 1 species